UUUCUUUCUUUUUUUUUUUUUUAACUCCCAUUCUUACAAGUAUAGACAUUCAAUUAAGGCACACAUGUCGCAGGAACCACCUAAAUGUUACAUUCAGCACAUCAUACAUGCAACAGUACUUUUGGACACAGAAGAAUCAACAUGAACUCCGAUGGCUUUUCUACCCUAACUCCACCCAGACACCGUCAUUUAACUGGCUUCCUGAAGAGACCCAAGCAGGCUAGCAGAAUCUUGUGUCACGCUAUGGUAUAUAAAUAAAACACAGGCUUUGAUAUUUAUGCCUCUUGGGAAAAUGACAAUAUCCUGAAAUCAGUAUCGCAUCAAUCUUGGAUCAAUUGGCUCCAAAAGUGUAGACAUUAGUUCCACUAAAUACAGAACACAAAGGUUCAAUAUUUUCCCCCAUUCUUUGCUCAUUCAUUGACAUUUAUCUAAUUGUAAACAAGCUUAAAUUCACA
rnacentral:misc_RNA from 1 species